UCGGAUGGAUUUCCUAUAUGACUGAGUGGCGGACGGGUGAGUAACGCGUGGGGAACCUGCCCUAUACAGGGGGAUAACAGCUGGAAACGGCUGCUAAUACCGCAUAAGCGCACAGAAUCGCAUGAUUCAGUGUGAAAAGCCCUGGCAGUAUAGGAUGGUCCCGCGUCUGAUUAGCUGGUUGGUGAGGUAACGGCUCACCAAGGCGACGAUCAGUAGCCGGCUUGAGAAAGUGAACGGCCACAUUGGGACUGAGACACGGCCCAAACUCCUACGGGAGGCAGCAGUGGGGAAUAUUGCACAAUGGGGGAAACCCUGAUGCAGCGACGCCGCGUGAGUGAAGAAGUAUUUCGGUAUGUAAAGCUCUAUCAGCAGGGAAGAAAACAGACGGUACCUGACUAAGAAGCCCCGGCUAACUACGUGCCAGCAGCCGCGGUAAUACGUAGGGGGCAAGCGUUAUCCGGAAUUACUGGGUGUAAAGGGUGCGUAGGUGGCAUGGUAAGUCAGAAGUGAAAGCCCGGGGCUUAACCCCGGGACUGCUUUUGAAACUGUCAUGCUGGAGUGCAGGAGAGGUAAGCGGAAUUCCUAGUGUAGCGGUGAAAUGCGUAGAUAU
rnacentral:rRNA from 1 species